rnacentral:rRNA from 1 species
AACGAACGCUGGCGGCAUGCCUAACACAUGCAAGUCGAACGAGACCUUCGGGUCUAGUGGCGCACGGGUGCGUAACGCGUGGGAACCUGCCCUUAGGUUCGGAAUAACUCAGAGAAAUUUGAGCUAAUACCGGAUAAUGUCUUCGGACCAAAGAUUUAUCGCCUUUGGAUGGGCCCGCGUAGGAUUAGCUUGUUGGUGGGGUAAUGGCCUACCAAGGCGACGAUCCUUAGCUGGUCUGAGAGGAUGAUCCACCACACUGGGACUGAGACACGGCCCAGACCGGUAGGGAGGGGGGGGGAAGAUAGUAUAAGGGGAGGGAGCAUGACGUAGUCAAGCAGCGCGGGGGAAGAGGGGAUGGCGUGGGGAUAGAAAUUUCCUUUUAGAAGGAAUGUUAAUGAAGGUACUGGGAAAAGAAGCCCCGGCUAACUCCGUG